rnacentral:rRNA from 1 species
GACGAACGCUGGCGGCGUGCCUAACACAUGCAAGUCAACUUGAGGGAAGGAGCAAUCUGACCUGAUGGGUGGCGCAAGGGUGCGUAACGCGUAAGUAACUUGCCCAAGGUAAGGAAUAACGUCGAGAAAUCGGCGCUAAUACCUCAUAAUGCAGCGGAUCCGCAUGGAUAUGUUGUUAAAGGUUUACCGCCUUGGGAUAGGCUUGCGUCUGAGUUAGCUAGUUGGUGUGGUAAUGGCACACCAAGGCUACGAUCAGUAACUGGUCUGAGUAGGAAUUGAUCAGUCACACUGGAACUGAGACACGGUCCAGACUCCUACGGGAGGCAGCAGUGAGGAAUAUUGGGCAAUGCA